GUGCCUGUAGUCCAGUGGCUAAGGUACAUGACUGGGACCCCUGAGGUUGGUGGUUCUAGCCCCAGUCCAGCCACA
rnacentral:tRNA from 1 species